rnacentral:rRNA from 1 species
GAUGAACGCUAGCUACAGGCUUAACACAUGCAAGUCGAGGGGCAGCAUGGUCUUAGCUUGCUAAGGCCGAUGGCGACCGGCGCACGGGUGAGUAACGCGUGGAUAACCUGCCUCAUACAGGGGGAUAACAGUUAGAAAUGACUGCUAAUACCGCAUAAGACCACAGCACCGCAUGGUGCAGGGGUAAAAACUCCGGUGGUAUGAGAUGGAUCCGCGUCUGAUUAGCUAGUUGGUAAGGUAACGGCUUACCAAGGCAACGAUCAGUAGCUGGUUUGAGAGGACGACCAGCCACACUGGGACUGAGACACGGCCCAG